GCAAAUAUUGGAGCUCAAAAGGAGAAUGAAUUUCUGAAAAGUAAAUUGCGGCUCGCUGAAUCUAAUCCACGCGAAUCGAGACUAUUUUCCACCACCAAAUUUCGGUUCGAAUUUGAAAAUCGAAAUGGAGGACGAACUGGGUGAGGUCUUUAACAACACAUACCUGGCUGAUUUAAAGUCCGGAGCAGGGAGAACGUCACCAGUUGGCAGAGAAUCUAUCAGACAAUCCGAACUGCGUCAGCGAAAUUCCAUAGCAGCCAGACAUCUGCGAAGUACAUAUGCGGCCCAGUAUGGCGAUCAGAAUUUGAAGGAGGAGGACAUUUCAAUGCCGUAUUUCAACGACAGCAUGUUCAGCAAUCAGCUGGACGUCCGUCGCGGAACACUCUAUCAACGACCGGACCACCGACGCCCAGUAAAAAUGGUGGCCGAUUAUCGUUCGGUGGCAGUACAAUCAAUGCCAGUGAUCUCUUUCCAAAGGACAUAUUGCGAGAACAGAACACCACCGCCAAAACUAAAACAACGCCCGGCAAAUUGAUGUCAAUGUUCUCAUCAUCAAAACAUAAGGAGACCGACGUACGCAAAGCGAUAACUAGACCGAUCUAUGCAGCAUUCACGUCGUCAACACCACGGCAAAAGUCCAAUUGGGGCCAGAGAACGUAAAUCCAUUCUAGCAAUCAAAUUGAAUUCGACCGACAGUGAUGACAAUGAUGUCGCUUCAAUUGUAUCCAAUGAUUCGUUAUUGUCAAAGACUGGCGACCGACGACGAUCAAUUACACACCGAUUUUCCAUCAUAUCAAAAUCGAAGCGUGUCUCCGCUGUGUCGAACUUGAUCCAAAAAAAUCGGCUUGAAUAUCGCAAGAAAAACCAUUCCAAGCGUCAGAAAGGAUUCGAACAAAGUCGGGAAAUAUUUUUGAAAAUGGAUGACGAUGACGACAACAAUUUUCAGAUGGUUUUACGCGAAGACAUUAGCUACGCACAGCCAGACAAAUUGUUCACAUCGGAUCUAAGGCCGUCGGAGAAAUUCGAAGUUCUAACUAAGUGUACGAUAUCCGAGCAUCCGUAUUCAAAAUGAACCAACGGCAAUCGAAGCAAUUGAAGUCACCGAAAGUUCAUUGACAUCGUCAGCAGCGUGUCAUUCGAAGACAAUGGGUAAUAUCAUUAUACAUGGGAAGAUACCAAGAAUUACGGUGAACGAAAUACCGCAACGGGAACUGAUCCAUUACAAUCAGCGAUCCGGUUCAAUAUGGUUGAGGCUAAUGGAUUUGACGAAGAAAUGUUUCUUUGGUUUAGUCUUGGUAGUGGUAUAUGCCAGCUACGUCAUGUGGAAUUUGUUGAGUCGACGAAAUGAGUAAAGAUUUUCAGACUUCUAUGUGACAGAAAGAAUCAUGUUUGCUUUUGCAGUUCAAUAAAAACAAAAAAAAAGUUUUCAAAUUUGA